AUCCUAGUGUUUUAGAAGCGUUUAAUAGCGUAGAGCAUAAAUCAUAAUGUGCUCUUUAAAUCAGGCUGUAUGCUGGGAGAUCUUAAGAUUAUCUAAGUUUAUAUAAUUCAAGAAAAUCAGCAGGAAACUACUGGAUGUAUAAUUAUUCUUGUAGGAUCCUCAGAGACUAAUACGCUUGACUACAUAUCUUUAAUAAGGUUAUGAUAGAAGAUAGAGUCCAAUCUUUUCUGUGAAGAAAAG
rnacentral:ncRNA from 1 species